GCUUUACCGUGCCGUGGUCUGAUUUACUAAUGCCAAUGCCUAGGCUGCCGAUCACAAGGGGGCCUCUUUCCCUCUCUUUCUAAUGGAAAUGUAACCACACAUUAGCAGACUCUCCUCAAACACCCCGUCCUCCUCCCAGCUCCCUCUCCUACCCGCCCGGAGGUGCAGGCGAGAGGGAGAAAGAGCUGGGCUGAGGAGACCUUGCAUGGACCAGGUCACCCUCAGCCUGGAGCUCCACCUCCCCCCCGGCAGCCAGAGGAGCCCCCCCGGCAGCCCACCCUCCCAAUAUGACGUCUACCUCUACAAGGUGCCCGACAUGGCCCCAAUCCCCCAUGGCACCCAGCCCUGGCCCCACGGCCCCAGACCCGACCGCAGCAGACCCCCCGGGGGGACCGGGCGAACCCUGCGCUGGGAGGAUGACACCUACCCCCCCUCACCUCCCUGCCCCAUCUGCAGCCCCAGCAGCUCCCGCUUUCCCUUCCCCGCCUCUCUUCAGCAACCCUUGUUCUUUGGCCUGUGGCCACAACCCAGGUCUACCGAGCCCUGGACCCCCUGAGACGCCCCGCCUCACCCAAGCCCUAAGACCCCCUUCCCCCAAGGACGGGGGACUCGAGGCAGGGAGGGGAGGUCAAGGCUCAGCCCCCUCUCCAUCUCCAGCCCAUUGCCAGUACCUGUGUGGUGGGGACGUAGUUUAGCUCGACCGUAUCGAGUGGUCCGUGUGAUCUGCUUGUGAGUAGAUAUCCUUAAAUAAAUAUACAUUUAUGAGGCUUCUGGUGAUUGGAUUCUUUGUGGUAUUAGAGUGUUAGAGGGAGUGGAUUGCUGAUUGAGUUUCUAACAAUACACAGGAAAGAUCAUCGCGCCACUCAACUUUUUGACUUUUGAUCCGGUAAAGGUUAAAUUCCCUUUGCAGUGUCCGACAUCAACUCGGAAAGGGAGAGAGCGCUGUUUAUUGAGAGCGCUGUUUAUUUAUACAAUGAUGUUAUAUUUGGGUGUGUCACACGCAACAGAAAAGUGUGAUCUGGGAGGCCGUCCCGUCAUUCCCGGCUUAUUUUUUCAACCUCUCUUUCUUGAUGCCUAUUUUGUGAAUAUACAGC
ensembl:lncRNA